AUGGCAGGAGCACAUCAUAUGGAGGCCAGAGAGGUUUUGUGGCCACCCCAUGUCAUCCUGGGGUCAGGAAGGGUGGCUGGCUGUCAGCAGGCUCCGGACACAUUGCUGCUCCACGGCUGGGGUUGCUGCAGCACAGUCAGAGGCUGGAAGGCAUGGGCACAACAACCCACACUCACAGUGAUACUAGGUGGCCAUGAAGACUGCAACAUCCACAUCAGUAUCAAUUCAUCGAGUCACAAAGUAAAAAAACCACAACUGACUUUUGAUAAACUUUUGUAAGAAUGAAAUUUCUUCUGCCAGUGAUUAUCUCGAAGGUCCACAUGUAACAACUGAGUUAAACUGACGGAAACGAUCUCUCUGAUUUGUGUGUACCUACUGCUGUUAAAGUCGUGCCACAGCUCAUCAGUGAUCAUUCCUCUUUCUCAGAAAAGAAAAAUAAAUCAAGUCCUUAACCUGGAGAGGGGGAAGGA
rnacentral:lncRNA from 1 species